rnacentral:lncRNA from 1 species
UCCCCUCUCCCAGAAACCAUCAACUAUCCAUGAAGUUGGUUCUCAUUAACUUCUCUCCAUUCCAUGUUCUUACUUUUUAGAAAAGAAGAUUUGGUCAACAGUGUAGUUGGGUUUUGGGAUAAGGAUAUCCAACCAGAAGACAAAUACAUACUUGGGGGUAAUAUAGAAGUACCAAAUUAGAUAUAUGGAACUGUUCCUGGUAUCUGGAAGCUGAGAAGUCCUGAGGAUAAUAAGGAUGCUUCAUGUCUUAGAUGGAAGUCGAGCUCAAGAAGAGAGAAAGGGGUCUUGUUUCCCACCCACACCUAAAAUAACCAGGGAACAAAACUCCAAAGGACACCAAGGUGAUCCAAGCUGUGCAGCGAUGUGCAACUGGAAAAAUGAGGUCUGGCAGACAGAUUCACAACUCGAUGAGGAGAUUGCUUCCCAUCAGGUAUUUGGUCUACUAAUACAUAGCCCCCCAGUGUGGCUACAGAAACUGAAGAUGACAAUGGACAGAGAAUCUGAGAGCAUGUGAGAAGAACUGAACAGAGCUCUGGUCUUGCACAUCCAGAAACUUGAACAUUUUCUAAAAUGGUCCUUCUGCAUAAUGUUCCC